GUGCUUGGCACAUAGUAAGCAUAUAUACUAGAAUUGGAACGAUACAGAGAAGAUCAGCAUGGCCCCUGCGCAAGGAUGACACGCAAAUUCCUGAAGCGUUCCAUAUUUAC